AUGCAUUCUUUUAAACCCCCCGGGUAGCUGCUCAUAGCUAUUUCGGGAUAAGAAAGAAUGCGAGAGAAACCAAGAACUAACCAAAGUUAAGGGUCUUCCUGCAGUGACCUUUGGCUAUUUCACCUCUUGAACAUUA